AUAUCACUCUUGGGGGUAGAGCACUGUUAUGACUAGGGGGUCCAUAAGGACUUACCAACUCAUUGCAAACUCCGAAUACCGAGAAGUGCAAUUACGGGAGACAGACCAUGGGUGCUAACGUCCGUGGUCAAGAGGGAAACAACCCAGACCGACAGCUAAGGUCCCAAAUGACGUGCUAAGUGGAAAACGAAGUGGGAAGGCAUAGACAGCUAGGAAGUUGGCUUAGAAGCAGCCAUCCUUUAAAG
rnacentral:rRNA from 1 species